rnacentral:snRNA from 1 species
GUGCUCGCUUCAGCAGCACAAGGACUAAUAUGGGAACGAUUCAGAGAAGAUUAGCAUGGCCCCUACACAAGGAAUUUGCAAGGAUGACAUGCACAUUCAU